UACGGAAGGCAGCAGUGGGGAAUAUUGCACAAUGGGCGCAAGCCUGAUGCAGCCAUGCCGCGUGUAUGAAAAAGGCCUUCGGGUUGUAAAGUACUUUCAGUCGUGAGGAAGGUGUUAAGGUUAAUAACCUUAGCAAUUGACGUUAGCGACAGAAGAAGCACCGGCUAACUCCGUGCCAGCAGCCGCGGUAAUACGGAGGGUGCGAGCGUUAAUCGGAAUUACUGGGCUAAAGGGCACGCAGGCGGUUAAUUAAGUUGGAUGUGAAUCCCCGGGCUUAACCUGGGAAUGGCAUUCAAGACUGGUUAGCUAGAGUCUUGUAGAGGGGGUAGAAUUCCAUGUGUAGCGGUGAAAUGCGUAGAGAUGUGGAGGAAUACCGGUGGCGAAGGCGGCCCCUGGACAAAGACUGACGCUCAUGUGCGAAAGCGUGGGGAGCAAACAGGGAUUAGAUACC
rnacentral:rRNA from 1 species